UUGAUAUUUUUUACACACUCUAGAGAACAAUUUUACACUAUGUAAAAUACAUCUUAGAGAGCAAAAAGUCAUCAGCUGAAGACAUAUAGUAAGCUAAAAAUUUAAGAGUUUUAUGAGUAGUAUCUUGAGUGUAAAAUAUUUUUAGAGAAGCAGGAGAAUAAUUUGGAUGCUAUUUUGCUGGUGGUGGUUGUUGAGUUUUAGUUCAUCUAGCGCUAACACCUUUUCUUUCUGCUGUCGAGAUCCAGGUACCUCUACUCAGACCUACCAUCCUUGAGGCGAGGUGAUCUUUCGGAGACUUCGAGGUAUAUCUGCCGCGUCCGCAAACCGAUGAGUCUCUCCCUCUAUUCUAUCUUGUAGUGAUAGCCCUUCUAUCUUUAUUAUUGAUAUAGACAUUCCGGAGUUAGAGCAUUUUACAAUGUUUCAUAGCUUGUGAUUCAUGGGUUUUCGGGUUUUGGGAGUAUAUAUUGGUUUUGAGAAGUUAAAUGUUGUGUAUGCAGAGCGGUACCUUUAAAACGUUGUUUCAUUUCUCUAUUUCUAUUUUAAAUUGUUUUUCUUUUCUUCCGCAA